rnacentral:tRNA from 1 species
GGGGGUGUGGCUCAAGUUAUAGAGUGCUUGCCUGGCAAGCAUGAAGACCUGAGUUCAAACCUCAAUACCACCA